rnacentral:rRNA from 1 species
AGAGUUUGAUCCUGGCUCAGGACGAACGCUGGCGGCGUGCUUAACACAUGCAAGUCGAACGGAAAGGCCCUGCUUUUGUGGGGUGCUCGAGUGGCGAACGGGUGAGUAACACGUGAGUAACCUGCCCUUGACUUUGGGAUAACUUCAGGAAACUGGGGCUAAUACCGGAUAGGAGCUCCUGCUGCAUGGUGGGGGUUGGAAAGUUUCGGCGGUUGGGGAUGGACUCGCGGCUUAUCAGCUUGUUGGUGGGGUAGUGGCUUACCAAGGCUUUGACGGGUAGCCGGCCUGAGAGGGUGACCGGCCACAUUGGGACUGAGAUACGGCCCAGACUCCUACGGGAGGCAGCAGUGGGGAAUAUUGCACAAUGGGCGGAAGCCUGAUGCAGCAACGCCGCGUGCGGGAUGACGGCCUUCGGGUUGUAAACCGCUUUCGCCUGUGACGAAGCGUGAGUGACGGUAAUGGGUAAAGAAGCACCGGCUAACUACGUGCCAGCAGCCGCGGUGAUACGUAGGGUGCGAGCGUUGUCCGGAUUUAUUGGGCGUAAAGGGCUCGUAGGUGGUUGAUCGCGUCGGAAGUGUAAUCUUGGGGCUUAACCCUGAGCGUGCUUUCGAUACGGGUUGACUUGAGGAAGGUAGGGGAGAAUGGAAUUCCUGGUGGAGCGGUGGAAUGCGCAGAUAUCAGGAGGAACACCAGUGGCGAAGGCGGUUCUCUGGGCCUUUCCUGACGCUGAGGAGCGAAAGCGUGGGGAGCGAACAGGCUUAGAUACCCUGGUAGUCCACGCUGUAAACGGUGGGUACUAGGUGUGGGGUCCAUUCCACGGGUUCCGUGCCGUAGCUAACGCUUUAAGUACCCCGCCUGGGGAGUACGGCCGCAAGGCUAAAACUCAAAGGAAUUGACGGGGCCCCGCACAAGCGGCGGAGCAUGCGGAUUAAUUCGAUGCAACGCGUAGAACCUUACCUGGGUUUGACAUGGAUCGGGAGCGCUCAGAGAUGGGUGUGCCUCUUUUGGGGUCGGUUCACAGGUGGUGCAUGGCUGUCGUCAGCUCGUGUCGUGAGAUGUUGGGUUAAGUCCCGCAACGAGCGCAACCCUUGUUCACUGUUGCCAGCACGUUAUGGUGGGGACUCAGUGGAGACCGCCGGGGUCAACUCGGAGGAAGGUGGGGAUGACGUCAAGUCAUCAUGCCCCUUAUGUCCAGGGCUUCACGCAUGCUACAAUGGCUGGUACAGAGAGUGGCGAGCCUGUGAGGGUGAGCGAAUCUCGGAAAGCCGGUCUCAGUUCGGAUUGGGGUCUGCAACUCGAUCUCAUGAAGUCGGAGUCGCUAGUAAUCGCAGAUCAGCAACGCUGCGGUGAAUACGUUCCCGGG